GGGUGACUAGUCUAGUGGUCAGGACGGUUCGUUGUGGUCGACAUCAUCAUCAACCACCAUCCGAACAAACCCCGGUUCGAUUCCGGGGUCGCCCA